rnacentral:rRNA from 1 species
AACGAACGCUGGCGGCGCGUUUUAAGCAUGCAAGUCGAGCGGCAAGGGUAGCAAUACCCCUAGAGCGGCGGACGGGUGAGUAACACGUGGACAACCUGCCCUUAGGUGAGGGAUAGCCCAGGGAAACCUGGAUUAAUACCUCAUAAGACCACUGAUAGGAGUAUGAGUGGGGAAAGGUGCUACGGCGCCGCCUGAGGAUGGAUCUGCGUCCCAUUAGCUAGAUGGCAGGGUAAAGGCCUACCAUGGCGACGAUGGGUAGCCGGCCUGAGAGGGUGAACGGCCACACUGGAACUGAGAGACGGUCCAGACUCCUACGGGAGGCAGCAGCUAAGAAUCUUCCGCAAUGGGCGCAAGCCUGACGGAGCGACGCCGCGUGAACGAUGAAGGCCGCAAGGUUGUAAAGUUCUUUUCGGGAAGGAGAAUAAGGGGAGCAGGCAAUGGCUUUCCGAUGCCGUGAAUCCCGGAAUAAGCCCCGGCUAACUACGUG